rnacentral:rRNA from 1 species
GACAGAGGGUGCAAACGUUGUUCGGAAUUACUGGGCGUAAAGCGCGUGUAGGCGGCCCGGAAAGUCGGAUGUGAAAGCCCUGGGCUUAACCUAGGAAGUGCAUUCGAAACUGCUGGGCUUGAGUUCUGGAGAGGAAGGCGGAAUUCUCGGUGUAGAGGUGAAAUUCGUAGAUAUCGAGAGGAACACCGGUGGCGAAGGCGGCCUGCUGGGCAGUUGCUGACACUGAGGCGCGACAGCGUGGGGAGCAAACAGG